rnacentral:lncRNA from 1 species
UUUUUUUGUUUGGAAGUUGGCAAGAAGUUGAGAUGCAGGGGAAUUGGAAGGAAAAGUUUUUUGUUUUUUUUUCUGCAGUUGUGAAUGUAUAAUACUGUGUUUCUUUAUGUCGGUAUGUUUAUACCUAGUUGUGCCUAUGUAAUAACUUGGCCAAUGGCUAAUCAGGGAGUUUGGGGGGUCAGAAGCCAGGUCCCUGAAAAUGGUAUUGCAGAACAGAAAGAGACC